rfam:Pseudomonas sp. VI4.1 NODE_34_length_65110_cov_28.4171, whole genome shotgun sequence.
ACGCGAGGACGACCUCGCGGCUCGAUCGAGUCAUUAAUCUGGGGACGACCCCG